GCUCACUUUGGUACCGCAUAUAAUAAAAUUGGAAUGAUACAGAGGAGAUUAGCAUGGCCCCUGUGCAAAGAUGACAUGCAAAUUUGUAAAACAUUUCAUGUUUUU